CGAACGGGUGAGUAACGCGUGAGGAACCUGCCUCAAAGAGGGGGACAACAGUUGGAAACGACUGCUAAUACCGCAUGAGCCCACGACCCGGCAUCGGGUAGAGGGAAAAGGAGCAAUCCGCUUUGAGAUGGCCUCGCGUCCGAUUAGCUAGUUGGUGAGGUAACGGCCCACCAAGGCGACGAUCGGUAGCCGGACUGAGAGGUUGAACGGCCACAUUGGGACUGAGACACGGCCCAG
rnacentral:rRNA from 1 species